GACGAACGCUGGCGGCGUGCUUAACACAUGCAAGUCGAACGGGAUUUAGUAAACAGAAGCCUCGGUGGAAGAUUACUAAUGAGAGUGGCGAACGGGUGAGUAACGCGUGAGCAACCUGCCUAUGACAGUGGGAUAGCCUCGGGAAACCGGGAUUAAUACCGCAUAAAAUCGUAGAAACACAUGUUUUAACGGUCAAAGAUUUAUCGGUCAUAGAUGGGCUCGCGUCUGAUUAGCUAGUUGGUGAGAUAACAGCCCACCAAGGCGACGAUCAGUAGCCGGUCUGAGAGGAUGAACGGCCACACUGGAACUGAGACACGGUCCAAAAUCCUACGGGAGGCAGCAGUGGGGAAUCUUGCACAAUGGGGGAAACCCUGAUGCAGCGACGCCGCGUGAACGAAGAAGGUAUUCGUAUCGUAAAGUUCUGUCCUAUGGGAAGAUAAUGACAGUACCAUAGAAGAAAGCUCCGGCUAAAUACGUG
rnacentral:rRNA from 1 species